rnacentral:lncRNA from 1 species
UCAAAACUUUGUGGCUGAUGAACUAAAUGAAGAUCCAUAGUCAGUAGGAACGUCUCAAAACGUACUACUGAUAACCUAUCAGCCACCCAACUAAAAAUUGUUUGAGUGCCUACGACCAAACAUCUUAUCGCAGUGUAGAAGUAUGAGGAACCACGAUUAUAGAAAAUGCAAUUGUCCGAAGUUGGUAGAGGACCUCCCCAACAGAAAAG